ensembl:lncRNA
AAUGCCUUUGUGGUCAUGUUAAGUGGAUACUCUAUUCUUCUGCGCUUCCUGCCUUGAAAGUCCUGACCAGGGUCACUUGCAGGGCUGUUAAACAGCUGCUGCGCCUCACCCGGGCAGCAAACAAGGCCAUUCCAGGCCCAUCCAUCAGCUCGGCCAGACAAGUGUUUUGGGACCUGCCUGGAUGAAAGAUGGGAAGUGAGCGGAGGCGUGGCCCGUGCUCGUCCAACGUGCAGACCUAAUUUGUCCGAGGCCCCCAGGCCCGGGUGCUGGAGCCACAGAACCUGAGUGAGGAGGAUCGGACACCAUGCUAUCCUUUAGUGUACACAAGCUCUGAGCUCCGUACAGAUCCUGUAUUAUCAGCACAACAGCCUUCAGAAGAUCCCUGUGAGCGAGGCAGGACUCCGAAGGAAGAAAGACAGCAAGGGAAAGUUAAUCUCCCAACAGCUACUGGAGUGGAGAAAGCCCCACGGAUCCCUCAGCACAUCUCAGCUGUUUGCCUCUGCCCCAGUUGCCCUGGUCUGGCUGUUGGUUAAAUAUUUUCCUUGCUUUCCCUUUGGCAUGAUGGAUUGUGGACAUCUAAACACGGGCCCUUUCCCACCUGGGCCAGCCCUGCCAUUUUCCUGGGGACAUAAGGGGCUUGUUUGAAGGGCCUGACCUGGCAUGGAUGCCGGGCAAACAGAAGCAGGGGCAAAAGCAUGUCUAUGUGCAGAGCGCUUGGGUUAAGUAGGUCUUUCAUUGAAGUAGUCAACACCUUUUGUUGCUGCCAGACCUUUCAGGACGGAUCCAGUGUUAGCCGUACUUUGAGGUGGGCUGGACAGGGGUAAAUGCUCUCAGAGCAGCUUCCAAAAGGGACAUGCUGAACACUGCUUCCUUUGGUUCCUUCCUUCAGGAAGUCUGCUAAGAAAAACAGAAGCUUGUUAGUCUCAAUUUUGGAGAUAAGUAGAAUAUAUAGCCAGAGACAGUAAAAACCCUUUAGGAAGUUCCCACUUAACACAUUUGCGUCUAUGAUUGUUCACAUUUUUACAUCCUGCCC